GAUGAACGCUGGCGGUGUGCCUAAUACAUGCAAGUCGUACGCAUUCUCGUUUCUGAUUGACGGUGCCUGCACCUAAUUGACGAGACAUUGGAAUGAGUGGCGGACGGGUGAGUAACACGUGGGUAACCUGCCCAGAAGUGGGGGAUAACAUUUGGAAACAGAUGCUAAUACCGCAUAAAAGUCAAAACCACAUGGGUUUGAUUUAAAAGAUGCCCUUUGUGAUAUCACUUCUGGAUGGACCCGCGGCGUAUUAGCUAGUUGGUAAGGUAACGGCUUACCAAGGCAAUGAUACGUAGCCGAACUGAGAGGUUGAUCGGUCACAAUGGGACUGAGACACGGCCCAUACUCCUACGGGAGGCAGCAGUAGGGAAUCUUCCACAAUGGGCGCAAGCCUGAUGGAGCAACACCGCGUGAGUGAAGAAGGGUUUCGGCUCGUAAAACUCUGUUGUUAAAGAAGAACGUAUCUAAGAGUAACUGCUUAGGUAGUGACGGUAUUUAACCAGAAAGCCACGGCUAACUACGUGCCAGCCGCCGCAGUAA
rnacentral:rRNA from 1 species